AACGAACGCUGGCGGCAGGCUUAACACAUGCAAGUCGAGCGCCCCGCAAGGGGAGCGGCAGACGGGUGAGUAACGCGUGGGAAUCUACCCAUCUCUACGGAAUAACGCAUGGAAACGUGUGCUAAUACCGUAUACGUCCUUCGGGAGAAAGAUUUAUCGGGGAUGGAUGAGCCCGCGUUGGAUUAGCUAGUUGGCGGGGUAACGGCCUACCAAGGCGACGAUCCAUAGCUGGUCUGAGAGGAUGACCAGCCAGACUGGGACUGGGACACGGCCCAGACUCCUACGGGAGGGUGCAGUGGGGAAUCUGGGGCAAUAGGCGCAAGCCUGUUCCAGCCGUGCCGCGUGAGGGAUGAAGGCCCUAGGGGUGUAAAGCUCUUUCACCGGUGAAGAUAAUGACGGUAACCGGAGAAGAAGCGCCGGCUAACUUCGUGCCAGCCGCCGCGGUAAUAC
rnacentral:rRNA from 1 species